GACGAACUGUUCUAACGUUAUUCGGAAUCACUGGGCUUAAAGGGCGCGUAGGCUGUUUGUUAAGCGGGGUCUGAAAUCCCUCGGCUCAACCGAGGAACUGGGCUUCGAACUGGCAGACUAGAGUGAAGUAGGGGUAAGCGGAACUUGCGGUGGAGCGGUGAAAUGCUUUGAUAUCGCAAGGAACACCGGCGGCGAAGGCGGCUUACUGGGCUUCAACUGACGCUUAAGCGCGAAAGCUAGGGUAGCGAACGGGAUUAGAUACCCGCGUAGUCCCUGAGCGGGCUGGCAA
rnacentral:rRNA from 1 species